rfam:Rattus norvegicus chromosome 7, whole genome shotgun sequence.
GGGGAUUUAGCUCAGUGGUAGAGCGUUUGCCUAGCAAGCGCAAGGCCCUGGGUUCGGUCCCCAGCUCCG